GCUGUAGUGGUUCAGUAGUAGAACUCUUGCUUUCUGUGCAGGAGACCAGGGUUUGAUUCCCAGACAAUGCA
rnacentral:tRNA from 1 species